rnacentral:rRNA from 1 species
AUUGAACGCUAGCGGGAUGCUUUACACAUGCAAGUCGAACGGAGUGGCGGCCGGGUGAGUAAUAUAUCGGAACGUGCCCAGUAGCGGGGGAUAACUACUCGAAAGAGUGGCUAAUACCGCCUACUAUUGGACCGGCCGAUAUCGGAUUCGCUAGUUGGUGGGGUAAAGGCUCACCAAGGCACCGAUCCGUAGCUGGUUUGAGAGGACGACCAGCCACACUGGGACUGAGACACGGCCCAGACUCCUACGGGAGGCAGCAGUGGGGAAUUUUGGACAAUGGGGGAAACCCUGAUGCAGCCAGCCCGCGUGUAUGAUGAAGGCCUUCGGGUUGUAAAGUACUUUUGGCAGAGAAGCGGUACCUGCAGAAUAAGCACCGGCUAACUACGUGCCAGCAGCCGCGGUAAUAC